rnacentral:rRNA from 1 species
GACGAACGCUGGCGGCGUGCCUAAUACAUGCAAGUCGAACGCAGUGGGGACGGGUGAGUAACACGUGGGUAACCUCCCAUCAGAGGGGAUAACACUUGGAAACAGGUGCUAAACCGAUACUGAUGGAUGGCCCCGCGGUGCAUUAGCUAGUGGGUGAGUUACCGGGUCACCAAGGCCACGAUGCAUAGCGGACCUGAGAUGGUGAUAGGCGACACUGGGACGGAGGAACGGCCCAGACUCCUACGGGAGGCAGCAGUAGGGAAUCGUAGGCAAUGGACGAAAGUCUGACCGAGAAACGCCGCGUGAGUGAAGAAGGUUUUCGGAUCGGAAAACGCUGUUGUUAGAGAAGCGGUAUCUAACCAGAAAGCCACGGCUAACUACGUGCCAGCAGCCGCGGUAAUUC